AGGUCGCCUGAACAGUGAGCCUGUAGAAGACACACCUACUGAACCCAAAACAAAACCUCCAACAAGCACCGACAGGACACAGAAUUCAGGAUACCUGAUCAGAGGUGCUUUCACAAAGAGCGACAACAAACCAGCUGCGACAUCCACC